GUCAAUCUCUCGAAGACCUUCGAGGGCAUUAUCCUCCUAAAAUCCCUUAAUUACUGCUCUGGGGCUCAUGUGUGUUCCUGGCCCGCAGCGUGCACGAGAGGGGAGUGCUGGCAGCAGUCACCCCGGUGUGAUGUUCAUUAACUUCCCCAGUCUCUGCUCUUUCCUCUUUUGAGCAGCAGAGGGAAGAAAGCUUGCUAGGAGGCUGCAAAGGGAGCAAGAAGAGCUCCAUGAUGGGAAGGAGCUGUGGUGGGACAGGACUCCUGACUUGACGUUCAUGCCAGGACAUUCAUUGCAAUUACCCUUGAUUUGAGAGCAGCCGCUAAAGGAAAUAAAAAUGACAGCUUUGGAGCAAUCCUGUUGUGCAGCAUGAUGGCUCUUGGCAGCAGGAGACCUAAUCACCCUCCUGAAGGCUGCUAUUCCAACGCGGGAUCUGAACAGACAAGUCUUCAAGGAACGGAAUCUGUAACAACAUUAAAAGGCUAGGGAAUUGAAUCCCAGAGCCUCAGAGGGGCAAUUUCAAGUCCUCAGCCAACUGAAGUUGAACUGUACACCUAUGGCAAGCUAAUUCCCAGCCCCGAGCUUUACCUCAUCGUAGGUCACAGAAACGACAACUUCAGAAUACCUGGAGUGAUGAUGGAGUGAUGAUGUGACCUUUUGCACUGUGGGGGAGGCAUUCCGUGCUCCGAUGGCUGUGGGCUCCUGUUAGCUCCAAUCUCCCCCAUCAUCACCGAAGACCAUUUCUGUUGGCAGAGAAGAAAGGGAAGAAGCCCUGACUGCUGCCUUCUCCUGAGCACACUGCCCGAGAGCCAACAGCCUGGACCACAGGAGGCUUCCAGAUGCUGGCGGAGAAGCAGGAAUCAUUACAACGGAGCAGAGCCCCACACAAAGGAGCUCCUGACACCCGCCGGCAGGCGAUGAAUUAGUGCAGCACAGCUGGAGCUGCUUGAGGGCUGCAGAUGCAAAUCCCAGAGCUGUUCCUGCAUGUACCGGAGGCAGUGUGGCCAGUCUGGGGGUUCCCAUAUAUAAGAUAUGUCGAGGUGCUAGAGCGAAGCUGAGAAAAAAUGUAUCUUUGAAGAGGCAAAGUGGACAUGUCAUUGAUGUCUAUGGUUAUUAAGAGGGGGAUGUGCAGAAGGGAGAACCAGACUGUCCUUGGAGAUGCACAGCAACAGGACGAGAGGCAACAAGCACAAAUGGCAGCAUGGAAAUUCUCAAUAGAGAGUGAAAAAUGCCCACCAUGAGAAUGGUCAAAUGGCAGACUGGGAGCCCAGAAAGGCUGUGAGACUCCACUGUAUGAGAUGCUCAAAACUCAGCCGGACAUAGCAGCCUGGUAAGAUGGGCCUGCAUGGACUGGAAGCCAUGCUUUUAAUUGCAGCUGUUGUGACCUCUGUGUGACACUGGGGUGACAUUAUCCAAGCCUCUUAAGCAGAAGCCCGGUCCCAUCCCAGUUAAAUCUGCCAGCAUACAGCCAAUUGCCCAGGAGGCAACUGCAUUGCCCGUGGAUGCAGUGAUAUGACCAAGUUCACCCAAAGUCUGUGUCAGAGAAAGGAGCUGAGCCCAGGGCUCAUGCAGCAGGGACCAACCAUCACAGCAUGGGGCCUGGAUGCACUUCAUGGAAAAGGAUAUAGUGGUUGAAAAAGGGCCCAGUGUAAAUCCUGCCCUGCCUCUGCCAGUGCUGAGAUCAGCAGGUGAGCACAGAGCAUCUUUCGUGUUCUCCCUUCCCAGGGCACCUGGGCAGCUUACUGGGAGCAGCACAGCUGGAGUAGAUGGGCAGUGGAUUCUCCAUUUGCCUUUGGAUUUCUGUUCUUAUGCUGGCACUGCUAUCAGUCCAUUCCCAGAAAUUAUAUUUUCCAAUGAUUUUUUUUUUUUUUUUUCCAUUUCCAGAGCAGGUCAGAAUGUUGUGGUAAGUGUUUCUGUUAUGAGCAGUAAGUGAAUUAGGGAGAGGACACAGGGCAUGGCUAGGGCACUUCCACCAGCCCACAGCAACCAGAAACUGCAGGGCUGUGUCCCUGGGGAGCACUGCAGGCUGCUGAGACUGAGCAGAUUUCAGCAGGCCCUGCGCACCAAGGCAGAUGCUUAAGUACACAGUCCCAUAAAGAAAUUCUUCUUAAAAAUCCCAAUCUUGAGCCAAGAAGCACAGGAGACGAUCCUGCUUCACACGCUGCUGAAAGAAACUCUUUGGCCAAAAUUGCUCUGGCUGUUUUUCUGCGCUCCAGUAAACCUGGCUGCUGUCUCCAUCCUGCAGAUGACUUCAUUUCGGUAGAUUUCUCAGCCCAGGCUCUCUCUGCCUCAAAAGCAAUUGUUUGUGCUGCAGUUGGAAAAUGUGUAUCAUCGCAGUCACCUUUUUUCCACUGCAGAGUAAUUAAUCAAUACUUCUCAUGGAGAGGAGUCAAUUCUCGUUAAGCUGGGGGCUUCGCAGUGUUGCCGUUUGGUUUUUCUUUUGCAGAAGAGCUGUGACAUACCCAAAAGCCACUUUGUGCUCACGCUGUGGGCUAUGCUUGGUUGGGGAUGCACCAGGGUGAGGGCAAAGUCCGCAUUGCAGGAAGCGUUUGGAAGUGCAGCUCUCAGCAUUGGUGCCAAGUGAAUGGAGGACACAUCUGAGCACUCAACGUGAAUAGGUUUUAAGUCUAAUUCCAGCAGAAGAUUUCUGCCUGUGCCAGAUGUGGUUUUCAGAUGCUGCACUGUGGCUUUGCUGCAUUCCUGGCCCACUGCAGCCAAACAGACCCCUGGAGCCUUGCCAGAGAGGGAGAAGGUAAGCAAGAUCCCAAGGUGCCCCUCUCAACUGGAUGAUGCAUUUCAGCUUUGCUUCCAAGCCUUCCAGAAGGCACCAGCCCCUCUGCCCAGGUGUUAUUCUUGGGCACUCUCAAAAUAGCUGCCUUUGCCUGGGAAUCAGAGAGGAGAGCUCAGUGAGUCCCCCUGAAUCUCCAGCUGCAGUAAUAUGUUGUUAUGAACCUCUACCAGAGCACUCAUAGUGCAGCUGGAGAGUCUGUCUGACAUUGCCUCCAGUGACCUUUUCGCUAUAGUCCAAGUGCUGUGGAGCUGGUGUUUCAAGAGGAAUUCAAAUGGAAUUUACUCAGGCAGAAAGGAUUGGCCUGGGGAUAGCCCUUCUACAGCUUCUGGUUCUCCUUGUCAUUCUCAUGGAAAUUGCAAUUCUUUAUGCAUGGUGCUUCUUCCUGCACCGCAGCAAAUGCGUCCCUUCAAGCAGCAGGCUGCUAACAGAGGGGCUCCAAAAUGAAGGCAUAACCCAUUACAAGGUCACAACGUGGCCGUGAGCCCUGACACCAAAACUAGUUGGUGGGCAUCAGGCACCCGCCUCGAGUUCCAGGAUGCAGCUUGUUUACGUGGGAUGCGAGCAGCAGGGAUUUGUGUAAGCUUCGGGGCAUGGGGGAUUUGACGCAGGGCUCUGUAGGGCAGGGGGCAGCGGGGCAGCUCGUUGGUGCUCAGAGCUGAUGGCAAAGGGUUGAGUCCCUGCUUGGUGUGGGCAAAGUGUGUGCUGGGGGAGCAUCACAUUUCUUCAUGCGCUUUUCUGGCGCGGUGCGAUUAUUUCACACGUGUUUGUAUGAGAGCUGCUUUAAAAUGUAAUUUCUUUGAUUAAUUUGGUGUCUGUAUUUUCACUGUUUUGUUCGCUCCAAUUUAUGACAAAAUUGAACAAAGUGGGUAACAAAAUAUAGCCCUGUCAGGCUCCUGUCUUCACGGAUAUAAAGAAAAAUGUGAAACUGUCAGGCACACAAAUGUGCCAAACCCCAAGGAAAAUUAUUACAUUCUGCUUGACAUUUACUUUAAUUUUACAAAAUUCU
ensembl:lncRNA